rnacentral:rRNA from 1 species
AGUGAACGCUGGCGGUAGGCCUAACACAUGCAAGUCGAACGGCAGCACAGUAAGAGCUUGCUCUUACGGGUGGCGAGUGGCGGACGGGUGAGGAAUACAUCGGAAUCUACUUUUUCAUGGGGGCUAACGUAGGGAAACUUACGCUAAUACCGCAUACGACCUACGGGUGAAAGCAGGGGAUCUUCGGACCUUGCGCGAUUGAAUGAGCCGAUGUCGGAUUAGCUAGUUGGCGGGGUAAAGGCCCACCAAGGCGACGAUCCGUAGCUGGUCUGAGAGGAUGAUCAGCCACACUGGAACUGAGACACGGUCCAGACUCCUACGGGAGGCAGCAGUGGGGAAUAUUGGACAAUGGGCGCAAGCCUGAUCCAGCCAUACCGCGUGGGUGAAGAAGGCCUUCGGGUUGUAAAGCCCUUUUGUUGGGAAAGAAAAGCAGCAGGUUAAUACCCCGCUGUUCUGACGGUACCCAAAGAAUAAGCACCGGCUAACUUCGUG